rnacentral:miRNA from 1 species
UGUGAGGGUUGUUUUUU